rnacentral:rRNA from 1 species
UGGGGAAUUUUGCACAAUGGGGGAAACCCUGAUGCAGCGACGCCGCGUGAUUUAGAAGGCCUUCGGGUUGUAAAAAUCUUUUCUGUGGGAAGAAAAUGACAGUACCAUAGGAAUAAGGACCGGCUAAUUACGUGCCAGCAGCCGCGGUAAUACGUAAGGUCCGAGCGUUGUCCGGAAUCAUUGGGCCUAAAGGGUACGUAGGCGGGUAAGCAAGUUAGAAGUGAAAUCCUAUAGCUCAACUAUAGUAAGCUUUUAAAACUGCUCAUCUUGAGGUAUGGAAGGGAAAGUGGAAUUCCUAGUGUAGCGGUGAAAUGCGCAGAUAUUAGGAGGAAUACCGGUGGCGAAGGCGACUUUCUGGCCAUAACCUGACGCUGAGGUACGAAAGCGUGGGUAGCAAACAGG